rnacentral:rRNA from 1 species
UACGAAGGGGGCUAGCGUUGUUCGGAUUUACUGGGCGUAAAGCGCGUGUAGGCGGGCUGGAAAGUUGGGGAUGAAAUCCCGAGGCUCAACCUCGGAACUGCCUCCAAAACUUCCAGCCUGGACUCAAGUAGAGGCAAGUGGAAUUGCGAGUGUAGAGGUGAAAUUCGUAGAUAUUCGCAGGAACACCAGUGGCGAAGGCGACUUGCUGGACUUGUAGUGACGCUGAGACGCGAAAGCGUGGGGAGCAAACAGG